rnacentral:rRNA from 1 species
GAUGAACGCUAGCUACAGGCUUAACACAUGCAAGUCGAGGGACCGGCGCACGGGUGAGUAACACGUAUCCAACCUUCCCUUUACUCGGGGAUAGCCUUUCGAAAGAAAGAUUAAUACCCGAUAUAAAGGAUGGGGAUGCGUUCCUUUAGGUUGUUGGUGAGGUAACGGCCCACCAAGCCUUCGAUGGAUAGGGGUUGUGGGAGGAAGUUACCCCGCAUUGGAACUGAGACACGGUCCAAACUCCGAGGGGGCGGAGGAGUAAGGGAUAUUGGUGAAGGGACGGUAGCCUGAACAAGCCAAGUAGCGUAAAGAGUGAAGGCUUAGGGGUCGUAAACUGCUUGUAUAUAAGAAUAUGUAUUAUAUGAAUAAGGAUCGGCUAACUCCGUGCCAGCAGCCGCGGUAAUAC